AACGCGAAGAACCUUACCUGGGCUCGAAGCGCAGUGGACCGGGGUAGAAAUAUCCCUUCCCCUUAAAAGGCUGCUGCGGAGGUGCUGCAUGGCUGUCGUCAGCUCGUGUCGUGAGAUGUUGGGUUAAGUCCCGCAACGAGCGCAACCCUUAUCCCUAGUUGCCAUCGGGUCAAGCCGGGCACUCUAGUGAAACUGCCUGGGAUAACCAGGAGGAAGGUGGGGAUGACGUCAAGUCCUCAUGGCCUUUAUGUCCAGGGCUACACACGUGCUACAAUGGUCGGUACAAACCGUCGCAAACCCGUGAGGGGGAGCUAAUCGGAAAAAGCCGACCUCAGUUCGGAUUGGAGUCUGCAACUCGACUCCAUGAAGCUGGAAUCGCUAGUAAUCGCGGAUCAGAACGCCGCGGUGAAUACGUUCCCGGGCCUUGUA
rnacentral:rRNA from 1 species